rnacentral:lncRNA from 1 species
AUCCAUCUUUCAGAUAAGGAAGCUGAAGGUGAAAGAAGGUUUUUUGUUCAAGCUUACACAGCCACAGAGACCUUCUGUCCAAAAUACACUGGAAAGCAAAGCUGCUCAAACUAUGUCCAGAAUUCCAGAUUGCCUUCUCCUUUUGAGAGAUCUUCCUGAAACUCUCAAGAUGGCACAGAAACUCAGAACCCAAAGGUGAAGAAAUCACUUAAGAUAUAUCUCACACAUCACAAAAAUACAGCUGCCUUUCCUGAAAGAUGAUGUAAUAUUUAGGAAAGAUCCCCACUCUGAUGGUUAAUAUUGAUGGUCAACCUGAUCGGCCUGAAGAUGCCUAAAAGAUUAGAAAAGCACAUUUCUGCGUAUAUGUGGUGGGUCAUGAGGUUGUGUCCCUGGAAACCACCUGGUCACUUGUCCCCCUUCCUCAUGAGCUCUUCUCCUACUCUCUGCUUCCUACCUGCCAUGAGACUUUGAACAGAAGGUCUGGACUGAGCCUGAAACACUGCAACCCUAACAAUUUCACCAAUAACACUGAUCAGAGACCACAGUGUGAUUGAUGUGGGGCCAGUACAGAGGACACACUGAGGUCAGAAGGAAGCCCAGUUCAUGACUCUUGCACUUACUGGCUCAGGACAAUGCCUAGAGCAACUAAAUUCUGGCAAGAUCAAAUAAAUAAAUAUGCAA